rnacentral:rRNA from 1 species
UACGGAGGGAGCUAGCGUUGUUCGGAAUUACUGGGCGUAAAGCGCACGUAGGCGGCUUUGUAAGUUAGAGGUGAAAGCCCGGGGCUCAACUCCGGAACUGCCUUUAAGACUGCAUCGCUUGAAUCCAGGAGAGGUGAGUGGAAUUCCGGAGUGUAGAGGUGAAAUUCGUAGAUAUUCGGAAGAACACCAGUGGCGAAGGCGGCUCACUGGACUGGUAUUGACGCUGAGGUGCGAAAGCGUGGGGAGCAAACAGGG